UAUAAUUUUUCAUUGCUUCUCUGUUUUGUCUAUGCGAAACUCUGUUUUCCUAUGUAACAUAAUUUUUUAUUUCGUAGUUCUUGAAGAAUCUUUAGGGUUUUUCUACUGUUUUUUUUAUGCGAUCAUAUCAAGAACUUAUAAUAAGAACCGUUUAAAUAUCUAAAGGAUUAUAUAUCAGUAACGAAUUUGGUUGAAUUUCUUGAUUUCUGUCUCCCGGUCCUAUUAAUCAGCGGUAAUUUGAGUGUUUGGUACGGAGUAUUUUUUUUAAUGGAAAAUAAUUUCCUAAAAAAUGUUUUCUGGUGUUGGCGUGAUGACUAUUUUCCCUAAAAAGUAGUACUAUAUAUUAAAGUUAAAGAUUAAUCAUAGUAUUCACAAUUUUGGUAUUGUUCUGAUGAAAUUUUUAGGUAUACAUUUUGAUAGUAAGUGCAAGAAAAACGACUUGAGUACAUAAAUGAUCGGAACUUAUUUCUCCCUUUUUGAUGGAACAUGCUAGAAAAUGUCAUCAAACAACCUAACACUAGGAAUGACUUUAGGCGUACCAUAUAUGCUGAAAAGAAAAAAACAAGAAUUUGUGAUUUUCUCUGUAUAUCUGAUGUUUGAUGUGACUACUAUUGCUGACAAGUAGUAUAAUCUUUAAGAAUUGAUUUAGAUUGAUAAUUUAUGGUUUAUGCUACUCUGAUUCUUAUUGUUUGUAACGAUAUUCUUUAUGUAGAAGCUUAUCUUUAACAAAUCAAGAACUGUUAAUAGUUCCAGAUUAUCUUCUUGCAUUUUGUUGCAAUGUUACUUUACUUUUCUUCUUUGUUUUACCCUUCCUUAGUUUGGCCAUUCCUUAAGGCCUUUCACUGAUGAGCUUCGGUCAACUCUGGUAAGCCCCUCCUCCCUCCAAACCAAAAAAGCAAAAAGAAAAUAAACUUUUCUUAUUUGCGUUCUUGACUGGCUACAUUACCACUUAAAUCUUACUUUAUUACAUAAAUUUUAAAAAAAUGUCCACAUUACCACAUCCAAUGUUUGAACAAGCUGCUUAUUUUUUUGGGUAUUGAUUUCAGGCAAUAUGGGUCGUCUAAGUCGGACUAUCUACGUCGGAAAUCUUCCUGGUGAUAUUCGGGAGAGAGAAGUAGAAGAUUUGUUUUACAAGUAUGGUCCCAUUGUGGAAAUUGAUUUGAAAGUUCCACCUAGACCACCUGGUUAUGCGUUCGUAGAGUUUGAAGAUCCUCGUGAUACUGAUGAUGCCAUCCGUGGGCGUGAUGGCUAUGACUUUGAUGGGCGUCGCUUGCGAGUUGAACUUGCACAUGGUGGGCGAGGAUCAUCAUCAUAUGAUCGCCACAGUAGUUACAGUAGUGGGAGUCAUGGUGGAUUUUCUAGGCGCUCUGACUAUCGCGUACUGGUCUCUGGACUACCAUCUUCUGCUUCAUGGCAAGACUUGAAGGAUCACAUGCGACGAGCUGGAGAUGUCUGCUUCUCUCAAGUUUUCCGAGAUCGUGACGGUAUGAGAGGGAUUGUGGACUAUACCAACUAUGAUGAUAUGAGAUAUGCGAUAAAGAAACUUGAUGACUCUCUGUUUCGCAAUCAAUUCUCUCGAGCAUAUAUUAGGGUGGAUAAGUAUGAUAAGAGGCAUAGCUAUUCCAGGAGUCCAAGUCCAUAUUAUUCAAGAAGCAGAAGUUACUCAAGAAGCAGGAGUCCUCGACGAAGCUAUAGCAGCCAGAGCGGAAGUGUAUCUCCUAGGGGUAAAUACUCUCGUCGCUCUGUGUCUGUCUCACCCUCAAGGGAUUUUUCCCCUGCUCGCUGUCAUUCAAGAUCUUGCUUCCGCGGCGAUCUGGGAAUUGCUAUAUAGACAGGUGAUUGUUAAUGGUGCUCAAAUUCAGACAACUCGUUUGGUUGUGGCUGUAACCUGAUUUAGUGGAUGAGCACCUCCGACAAACUCUGGAUGGUAAAUUGCAUUUUAAUAUGUUAUUAAGGUGGAUCUACCUCACAACAAUAUAUCAAGUUGUUUUGGGGCUAAUCCUUUCGUGGAACGCAAUCCAAUAGACAAAUAAAAAUUAUUUUGUUUUUAGAGCGUGGGGCUGGAGCAGGCAUUUGUAUUGUUAUGGCUCUCAUAAAUUGGACAUGCAACCUCCAGAAAGUGUGUUGCAAAUGGUUCUUGUUUCAAUGUGUUCCCGUCGGGUGAUUGGUAUUAGAGAUUGCGGCAGCUGUUUGAUAAAUACUAUGAUUGUGGACGUGGAAGUAUAGCAUGGAUUCAUUUGGGAAAGGUCAUUCUGGAACCUUUUGGCCACAGAAUUCUAUUGAUAUUAACUAGAAUUGUUUCUGGGGUUUUUGCAGAUCUCUAUCAAGAUCCAGAUCUCCACUUUCACCUCCACCUCGUUGGAGGCACGGAAGGAGCCUGAGCCCGAGCAGGAGCAGGAGUCUGUCCUAUUCUCGCUCUUCGGGGAUAUCGGAAUGAGACUUCUACAGAAACAAAGCGGAGAUUGUAACCAAAAUAAAGUAGUAUGCAGACUUGCAGGAUGUGAAGGAACUGGCUUUUAGCGCAGUGCUUACUAUGGUUAAAUCUUUUGAGUUGUUGUAAUGGAGCUUUGAAUUCUAGCUAGCUAGUUGCGCGUUUUAGAAAAACUUGUUCUAGUUUAAUCGCCAUGCAUGCUUCUUGAACUGUUAAGUAAAACUUGAGGAUGUAUAUCUGUUACAUAUGACCCGUGAUUUGUCACUUGUUGCCUGCUAUAAGUGAGUCCACCCAUUAUCAAAUGUUUUUCGUUUAAGCCA